UACGUAGGGUGCGAGCGUUAAUCGGAAUUACUGGGCGUAAAGCGUGCGCAGGCGGUUUUGUAAGAACAGCUGUGAAAUCCCCGGGCUCAACCUGGGAACUGCGGUUGUGACUGCAAGACUGGAGUGUGGCAGAGGGGGAUGGAAUUCCGCGUGUAGCAGUGAAAUGCGUAGAUAUGCGGAGGAACACCGAUGGCGAAGGCAAUCCCCUGGCCUGCACUGACGCUCAUGCACGAAAGCGUGGGGAGCAAACAGG
rnacentral:rRNA from 1 species